rnacentral:rRNA from 1 species
AUUGAACGCUGGCGGCAUGCCUUACACAUGCAAGUCGAACGGUAACAGGUUAAGCUGACGAGUGGCGAACGGGUGAGUAAUAUAUCGGAACGUGCCCAGUCGUGGGGGAUAACUGCUCGAAAGAGCAGCUAAUACCGCAUACGACCUGAGGGUGAAAGCGGGGGAUCGCAAGACCUCGCGCGAUUGGAGCGGCCGAUAUCAGAUUAGGUAGUCGGUGGGGUAAGAGCCCACCAAGCCAACGAUCUGUAGCUGGUCUGAGAGGACGACCAGCCACACUGGGACUGAGACACGGCCCAGACUCCUACGGGAGGCAGCAGUGGGGAAUUUUGGACAAUGGGCGCAAGCCUGAUCCAGCCAUGCCGCGUGCGGGAAGAAGGCCUUCGGGUUGUAAACCGCUUUUGUCAGGGAAGAAAAGGUUCUGGUUAAUACCUGGGACUCAUGACGGUACCUGAAGAAUAAGCACCGGCUAACUACGUGCCAGCCGCCGCAGUAA